rnacentral:rRNA from 1 species
GACGUAGGGUCCGAGCGUUGUCCGGAGUUACUGGGCGUAAAGGGCGCGUAGGCGGCUUUGUGCGUCACCCGUGAAAGCCCCCGGCUCAACCGGGGAGGGUCGGGUGAAACGGCGGAGCUGGAGGCAGCGAGAGGCUGGUGGAAUUCCCGGAGUAGUGGUGAAAUGCGUAGAGAUCGGGAGGAACGACCGGUGGCGAAGGCGGGACUCUGGGCCGAUACUGACGCUGAGGAGCGAAAGCGUGGGGAGCGAACAGG